GGUCUCGUAGCUCAGUUGGAUAGAGCACAGGAUUCCUAAUCCUGGGGUCAGCAGUUCGAAUCUGCUCGAGAUCACCA
rnacentral:tRNA from 1 species